UGCGUUGAAAGCAAAGGACUGAGCUUGCCUCUGACUGGCUAGGUAGGAACCUGAGACUAGGGGACAGAAGGACUAGGGAUUCAUCCAGUAAAGAGAGCUCACCUGUGACUGAGGAGCCUGGCUCCAUUUUAGGUCUUCUGUGAUUUCAAUAAGGAAGAAGAAUGGAAACUCUCCUGGGAGUGUCUUUGGUGAUUCUAUGGCUUCAACUGGCCAGGGUGAACAGUCAACAAGGAGAAGAGGAUCCUCAGGCCUUGAGCAUCCAGGAGGGUGAAAAUGCCACCAUGAACUGCAGUUACAAAACUAGUAUAAACAAUUUACAGUGGUAUAGACAAGAUUCAGGUAGAAGCCUUGUACAGCUAGUUUUAAUACGUUCAAAUGAAAGAGAGAAAAAUAGCGGAAGACUAAGAGUCACUCUUGACACUUUGAAGAAAAGCAGUUCCUUGUUGAUCACGGCUUCCCGGGCAGCAGACACUGCUUCUUACUUCUGUGCUACGGAUGCACAGUGUUCCCCAGGAACCUGCAGCCUCUACACAAACCCUGCCAAAGCAGCUUCUUAGAAGCCCUAACAGUGGGCAGAACUGGUGGUUAUGUCUUUCAGUGAAGAAGAAUCUACAAACAGCUGGCAAAGUAAAAGGGGAACGCUUUCAAAUUCAUGAUUUUUAAAAAAGCAUCUUGGACUAGGGGAAAAGGCAUGAAAUUUGGAACAGGAAAUGGAAAUACCAGGCUCAGUUCUGCUAAUCCUGGCUACAUAGGGACAUUGUCAGUGCAGCAGUCUUCAAUUUCCUCACUUGAAAUAAAGGAUUUGGAUCAAUGAGCCCAAAAUAUUACUUAAUCUCUAAUUUUAUUAGGAAAAAAAGAAACAGUCACUGGGCACUUGUGGAAGAGGAGGAAGGCUGCUCAGUUUUAGAAGGUCUCAUUUGUCCUAUGUGCAGCCCUCCCAAGAUGUCAGUGGGUCUUUGAGAUGCAUUAGGUGGCUCUUGCAUUCCUCUGAUUGUAUAAGAAGCAGUAGAUUCAUUAGGCAUUAGAAUUGGAAGGGGUCCUAGGACUCUCAACCAAACUUUUCAUUUUAGAGCUGAGGAGUAAAACCAUUGCAUAGUAAGACAGACAAUUAUUUGAAUCUUUGGAGUGAUAGUGACAAAUAUCUGGAUCUGAUUUCACCAUUUAUUAGUCAUAUGAUUCCCAAGCUUCAAUGUCUCUAUUAGGUAAAUUGGGAAUUUAUAAGAAAGUAACAACUUUUCCCCAUCCAAACGAGAGACAGGUGUUUGCCACUACCAGGUCCUAAAAUGCUGUGUUUUGAAAGCAGUGUUUUUAGUAUCAAAUACAUAACAGUUUUUCAGCUAUUUAUUCUUGCUCCUACUGAGAAAUAAAUGCUGACUAUAGUUUUCUUGACACAGUUUAGAUAGUACCGAAAAUGUGUUUGUGGAGAAAAUUAGAGCAUUUGUAUUUAGGUGCACACUUUGGUGAGAAAAGUGGGGGAGGGCAGGCAAAGGUUGUAUAGGAUAGUGGUUCCCACAAGUCAGACCUUAACCCAUCAAUAUUAGCUGUACCAGACUCACUAGAGCGUCUUUGAAGAUCUAGACUAUUAAGCUCAAUUCUGACUUACUCCAUCAGCCUCCGAUAAAGUGAUGAACUUCAAUUUUUAAUAAAUAUCUUCUAUAUAUGUAAGAGACUGGCUCAGGUUCACAUUUAAAAAACCCAAACAAUAAUGUUUUUAACAAGAUUGAGUUUUUUUUUUUCCACACAAAGGAGCUCUGUAAUAAUCAGGGCGGGUGCAGUACCUUCAUCAUGUUACAAAGGAACCAGGGUUUUCUAGCUUACUGUUUUUCACUCUUAAUGUGUCACUCUUGUUUUUAUACUUUCAAGAGAC